rnacentral:rRNA from 1 species
CAUUUGUUCUCUAAAUAAGGACUUGUAUGAACGGCCACACGAGGGUUUUACUGUCUCUUACUUCCAAUCAGUGAAAUUGACCUCCCCGUGAAGAGGCGGGAAUGAAUUAACAAGACGAGAAGACCCUAUGGAGCUUUAACUAACUAGUCCAAAAGAAAUAAAUUUAACCACCAAGGGAUAACAACAUCCUUUAUGGACUAGCAGUUUUGGUUGGGGUGACCUCGGAGAACAAGAGAUCCUCCGAGCGAUUUUAAAGACUAGACUUACAAGUCAAACCAAAUUAUCGCUUAUUGAUCCAAAAAACUUGAUCAACGGAACAAGUUACCCUAGGGAUAACAGCGCAAUCCUAUUCAAGAGUCCAUAUCGACAAUAGGGUUUACGACCUCGAUGUUGGAUCAGGACAUCCUGAUGGUGCAACCGCUAUCAAAGGUUCGUUUGUUCAACGAUUAAAGUCCU